GACGAACGCUGGCGGCGUGCUUAACACAUGCAAGUCGAACGGAAAGGCCCUGCUUUUGUGGGGUGCUCGAGUGGCGAACGGGUGAGUAACACGUGAGUAACCUGCCCUUGACUUUGGGAUAACUUCAGGUAACUGGGGCUAAUACCAGCUAGGAGCUCCUGCUGCAUGGUGGGGGUUGGAAAGUUUCGGCGGGUGGGGAUGGACUCGCGGCUUAUCAGCUUGUUGGUGGGGUAGUGGCUUACCAAGGCGUUGCCGGGUAGCCGGCCUGGGAGGGGGACCGGCCACAUGGGGCCUGAGAUACGGCCCAGACGCGUACGGGAGGCAGCAGUGGGGAAUAUUGCACAAUGGGCGGAAGCCUGAGGAAGCAACGCCGCGGGCGGGAUGACGGCCUUCGGGGUGGAAACCGCUUUAGCCUGUGACGAAGCGUGAGUGACGGUAAUGGGUAAAGAAGCACCGGCUAACUACGUG
rnacentral:rRNA from 1 species